UACGUAUGGGGCAAGCGUUAUCCGGAUUUACUGGGUGUAAAGGGAGCGUAGGCGGCAGGGCAAGCCUGAUGUGAAAACCCGGGGCCCAACCCCGGGAGUGCAUUUGAAACUGCCAUGCUAGAGUGCUGGAGAGGUAAGUGGAAUUCCUAGUGUAGCGGUGAAAUGCGUAGAUAUUAGGAGGAACACCAGUGGCGAAGGCGGCUUACUGGACAGUAACUGACGUUGAGGCUCGAAGGCGUGGGGAGCAAACAGG
rnacentral:rRNA from 1 species